UACGGCCACAUUACUUUAAAACAGCCGUUCCCGUACGAUCAGCGAAGUUAAGCAAUGUCGAGCCUGGUCAGUACCUAGAUAGGUAACUGCUUAGGUAAACCAGCUGCUGUAAG